rnacentral:rRNA from 1 species
CCUACGGGGGGCAGCAGUGAGGAAUAUUGGUCAAUGGCCGGAAGGCUGAACCAGCCAUGCCGCGUGAAGGUCAGUGCCCUAUGGGCGUUAAACUUCUUUUGUGCGUGAGCAAUAAUGGUCACGUGUGGCCAGACGAGAGUACCGUACGAAUAAGCAUCGGCUAACUCCGUGCCAGCAGCCGCGGUAAUACGGGGGAUGCAAGCGUUAUCCGGAUUUAUUGGGUUUAAAGGGAGUGUAGGCGGAUAUGUAAGAUAGCGGUGAAAUGCCGGGGCCCAACCCCGGAACUGCCAUUAUGACUAUGUAUCUAGAGUAAUGGAGAGGAUAGCGGAAUACCCAGUGUAGAGGUGAAAUUCGUAGAUAUUGGGUAGAACACCGGUGGCGAAGGCGGCUAUCUGGCCAUUUACUGACGCUGAGGCUCGAAAGCAUGGGGAUCAAACAGGAUUAGAUACCCGAGUAGAC